UUAAAAACACACUUUAUUUAAACUGUAGAGGCAUUAACUCUAUCUAAUGAACAUAAUAAAGCCGCAUUAUACAAGAAAAAAUGAUGAUAUCUUUUUGGUUUUGUUGUUCACAGGCUUCUUCUGCCCUGAAGGAAGCACCUCACCAGUUCCAUGUCCCCGAGGCACUUUCCGUUCCGAAGGAGCAGCACUGACAGCACACAGCUGCUUGGCUUGUCCAGUGGAUUUCUUUAACCCCAUGCCUGGUCAAAAAGCAUGUCUCCCAUGCGGCUCAGAGGCAGCACAGCCCGCAGAAGGACAAGAAACAUGCAUAUGUCUUGGGAAAGGCCAGGUUUUUCAGGCUCGUGAUGCUCACUGCACGUGCCCUCUGGGUUAUCAGAGCUCUGUGAGUGGCAGAAGACAUUGUGUCAGAAGAACAUAUGAUAUCUGUCGAGAUUCAGCCUCCCGAAAUCAGGAAGGACGGUGUCUGACCAAGAAGGAAUGGACUCACUAUUGCUCAGAAAAGGUGUAGUGUUUUUCCAUCAGUCAAAUCCAAGAUCCAUGCAAAUAUUGCCCUAAAAGCCAACUGCCUAGCUCUUCCUUUGCUAGGUACAGGCAGCAUGAAAACCAAGCAUUAUUAGCAUUUUCACGGGACGUUUUAACUCUUCUUCAAACUGAAAUAAGAAGCCUAGCAGUAAGCCCAGAUUUCCAUCCUCGCAUAAGGAGGAUGGGUCAUUAUUUGUCUUUUUUUAUUCCUUUUUUUUCUCCUGCAGGUUUGUACUAUUCCCAGGGAUUAUCAAGGCUAUGACAAGGUUCUUGGCCUCUGCAUCUGUCAAACUGACCGUUUGGAGAACAUCUGUGAUUCUCAGUGUAGGAGGCAACAAAGAGAAACCCUGCAAAUCGCCUGUGCAGAGGAAAACCCUCAGCUUUUUAUCACUUACAGAAAUGGAAGCAAGGUAAAAGCUACUGUUAUUUUCAAGAUCUACCUAUUUUUUGCUAAACUUUUAAACUUUGAGUAAUUAUUUUAUCAAAUAACAUCAUGGUUUUUUUAUUUUAUUAUUUCCUUAGAGAAGUACAAAAAGCAACAAACAAAAACCUCAGGCACUAGUCUGUUAUAUACAGCAUAUUUUUUAUACUUGGCCUUGCAUUGCAACAGUGUGAAAAACUCACAUAUAUUUUCUGAGUUCUUUUUCUAUUAGGCUGCCAUUCUCUUAGAAGAAUUACGAACAGUUCUACUAGGAUCAUAUUUCCCUUUAAAAGAUGUCUGCACUUCAGAACAAAGCAAAUACUUUCAUCCAGCAUACAUCGUGAAAGCAAGUGGUAAGGAAAAGGAUAACAAAAGUGGGUUUAGAGGGUAUAUUAUUAAAUAGGUAUUAAAUAUAUAGAGA
rnacentral:lncRNA from 1 species